rfam:Gossypium hirsutum cultivar TM-1 unplaced genomic scaffold scaffold1263.1, whole genome shotgun sequence
UGUUAAAAAUUUCAUCCCUUUUGUACUAUUAAAAACUAGCAUGGCUGACAAAAUAGCAAGACAUUGACAUGUGGCAUAUCACAUGUACCUCAUCCUAACAUGCAAAGACCAAUUUUUAACAAUAAAAAUGGAUAAAUUUUUUAACA